UUUCUCCCACCAACGAGCCGAGGAGGGAACGCACACAGGGAUGACUGAGGAGAGGACGAUACCACUCACCCCCUCCUCCUCCUCUGCUCACAUGACUGUGAUUAGAGGAGGAGUGUGGUGGGACACAGAGAGGGAGAGAUGGUGAGCACGAUGAAUGACAUUUUUCUGAUUUCGCCGCACAGAUCACAUCCAAGAACUCCACUUGUCUUUGAUUGCUGGCCGAAGGUCGUCCACUUUUCUGGGCUGCAGGUAUGAGGGUGCUACACUGGUGCAUGCUGGGAGUGACCAUCCUCCUGCUGGUGUGCGAGGUCACCAUCAGUCAGCUGUGCAAGUCCCUCAUCACCUUAGUGGAUGGUUUCCACACGAUCUUCGUCCUCUUACGUAUGGCUCUUCCUCCUCCUCCGACAGCAAGCAUGAGUAAACCUCCGCUCUCCUCUGUGGACUCCUCCACAUCUCCUCCACAUGCUUCCUCCUCUUCAGCAGCACUUCCCACCACCCUGCCUGCAGAGUCAUCCACCAAACCUCUACCUGGGAGCCAGGCUGGUGGGUUUCUGGACUGCGGUGUGUCCUUCACCGGCAGCAGGAUUCGGCCUGUCGGGACUUUCAUCUCCGCUCUCUUCCUGACCUUUAUGUGUCUCUCUUACUUCCUGGAAAUCAUUAGCUUUUGCCUGGACCCACACCCAGUGCAGCGCCCCCUCCUGCUUGUGGUGGUCGGAGGUGUCAGUCUGCUCCAUAAGAUGCUGGUGGUCUGGAUGAACUUGGAUCAGCUGCAGGAUGAGAAUGCUGGAGUCAGAGAGACCGAUUCACACCUUGAAGUGAACCACAGAGUCUUGGCUGCAGAGGAAACCAAAGGCCAGCCUGAGCCGGGGCGAGUCUUGGAUGAUAUUAACCAUGUUCAAUCUGCCAUGAACGACUCACUCCACAACGGAGCGCUUGUCCUCUGUAACCUGGGAAUCUCCAGCGUCCCUGACAUUGACUCUCACGCGGCAUCACAACAGCCAGAAGACCACCUGCAUGCAGCCGCUUGCACAGGAGAGCAGGGACUGUGGAGCAGGCAGCGCUGUUGCAGAUUUGAAGGUUCACAGGUGCAUGGGACAUCUUGUCUGCAAGUCAUCACUUCACAUCGAGAGGACCGUACCAAGCAGCCAGUGGCCAGUCAGUCUCCUUUCGUUCGUCCUCGUCCUUCAGGGCCUUUGUACCGCUCUUCUGGCUCUGAUCAACAGCCUGGUGAUGCUGCUGAUCGGCCCACGGUGCCUGCACAGCUCUGGAACAUGUGGCCUCUUGGUUUACCUGGAUCCUGGCCUCUCCCUGCUGGCUGUGAUUACGCUCAUUGCCUCAGCUGCACCACAGGUGCACAGGUACGGACUUCUGCUGCUGCAGGCCACACCGCCACAUAUUUGUGCGUCUGAUCUUGAACGGAGGAUUACGUGUGUCCCUGGGGUGCGAGCUGUGCACGACCUGCACAUCUGGCAGUUAACUGAAUCAUUCACGGUGGCCUCUGUCCAUGUACACUGCCAUGCUGGGUUUCCAGUGCACAGGUGAGGUGGAAAUGUCUGAUGUUUAUACCUGGUGGCUCUAACUGUUCAUAUCAGGGCUGUUGAGGAAUUCUCAAUUCUGAUAGGUGGGAAGGUAUGGAUUAAUGUUUUGUGACCGAACAGCCACUGGCGGUUCUCGACCAUAUCAAAUGGGGGGGCCAGGCUGAGGCAACAUUUUUAGGGAUUUGAGGGAUACCAAAUGUAUAACUGUUACGUACCUCCGUACCAUGAUGAGAUACAAUUUCCCUCUUUAGGGAUAAAUGUGGGGUGAAAAAUGUCUGAAAAUAUUAUUAUUAUUAUUAUUAUUAUGAUUAUGGCGACAUAUUAUUGUUUUUACUGUGGUAAAAUAGUUUUAUGGCGUCUUCAUGCCUGAACUGGACCAAACUCGUUUUAAUAAAGUGUUUCUGAAUCUUUGAAUCUAACAUAUUUAUCACCUGUAGUGACGCCAUGUGAAGCCACCUUCUUAUUUCCAGACAGCCAAUCACAAUGCUUCUGCUUUGCAUAGCACAUCACAGACCAGACUACAUUUUCCUUUUGGGCUGUUAUUUGACAUUUAUAGGUUUUAAGACAUCCAGCACGUGAUUAUACUUUGUGUACAGGAGCUCGCUGUGAUAACAGCAAACUAACAGCACUCAUUGUGGUUACACCCUGACCUAGAAGACUCCUGUUGGUAUGAGGUUUAUAUAGAUCUGACAGCCAUGAUAAAAGUGCCUGGAUGAGCCUCGGUGGUCCGGGGUGCAGGCUUCAAACCUGUAGCUGCUUAGCGGCAGAGUGGUUCAAUUCCACCUUUCAGGUGGUGAAUGUUAAAAAGUGUUGGCUGUGCACAACCUUUGCCAAUAUCAAUAAUACAUUUGGAAAAUAUAUGAAAAGAAAAUGCUAUCAAUCAUCUUUAACUUUGUUUAUUGUGCGUUUUGUCUCUUCUUCGGUUGGUCAAAAUACGAGUGUGGAGAGGUGGAGAGAGAGUCUGAAACCAUAACAACAAAAAGUUACUUGAUGGAGGAUUUAAGAGCACCCCUAAAGGCUGGUUAUCAUAAACAUGUUUUUGUCCAGAUUAAAAACUCGAUAUUGUAUCAAUGCAGUCAUUUCACACAUGUCCAGGUGUGCUGAUCUGAUGUCGGGCGUCACUAAGGUGCUGUGCAGUGUGGGAGUGAGCUGCUGCACCAUUCAGCCAGAGUUCGCCUCCUGCUCUGGGUCCUCUGCAGGCAGUGAGGGGGACGCCUCGCCUGUCGUCCACAGAGCGGACCCCUCCCUACCUCCUCUUCUGUACUGCAGCCUCGCCUGUGGAAAGGCAUGCGCUGGGAAUAUGUGCUGUUCUUCUCUAGAGGAGGAGACCAGAACCCUGCAGGCACCAGCAGCUGGGGAAACAAAGGAAGAGCCUCAGACACUGGUCAUCGAGAACACCUUCCUCUGACUGCAAGAACAUGAAAACAAGAAUAUAAAUGAAUGUGAAAAUAACAGAUUUGAAAGUGUAAUCUCUCUCAAAACACUGCCUGCACAUUAUAUGUAAAUGUUCUGUUAGUUUUGUAACAUUAACACAGUGCUGCACCAAAGAUCUUUAUGCAAUAUCAAGUGAAAUUCUUUCAAAAUGGAGGCAAUGUUUUCUUGUGUUGCUUCAUUUGUACCUGGAACCUCUGACUUCUGAUUAACUUCUUUAUUCUCUCCCACGUAUGUACUGAAAUAAAACAACUUUGUUGUACUAAAUGUAUCUCUUAU
ensembl:lncRNA zinc transporter 1-like